UUGGUUCAUAUGAGGACCAGGUGAUCUUG
rnacentral:piRNA from 1 species